AAUAGAUACCCAGGUAGUCCCAGCUGUAAACGAUGCAGACUCGGUGAUGAGUUGGCUUUUUGCUAACUCAGUGCCGCAGGGAAGCCGUUAAGUUUGCCGCCUGGGGAGUACGGUCGCAAGACUGAAACGUUAAAGGAAUUGGCGGGGGAGCACCACAAGGGGUGAAGCCUGCGGUUCAAUUGGAGUCAACGCCGGAAAUCUUACCGGGGGCGACAGCAGAGUGAAGGUCAAGCUGAAGACUUUACCAGACAAGCUGAGAGGAGGUGCAUGGCCGUCGCCAGCUCGUGCCGUGAGGUGUCCUGUUAAGUCAGGUAACGAGCGAGAUCCCUGCCUCUAGUUGCUACCAUUAUUCUCAGGAGUAGUGGAGCUAAUUAGAGGGACCGCCGUCGCUGAGACGGAGGAAGGUGGGGGCUACGGCAGGUCAGUAUGCCCCGAAACCCUCGGGCCACACGCGGGCUGCAAUGGUAAGGACAAUGAGUUUCGAUUCCGAAAGGAGGAGGCAAUCUCUAAACCUUACCACAGUUAUGAUUGAGGGG
rnacentral:rRNA from 1 species